GUUACAGAGGAGGACUGCACAGAGAUUGUAGAGGCUUGCAUUCAGAGUGGUGUCAUGCUCACAGUGUGCCAUGUUCUCCGAUACGACCCUGUCAUCCACAGAAUUAAAGGGCUGAUUGACAGCGGUGUGAUUGGCGAUGUCAUCCACAUUCAACAUCUGGAACCAGUGGGGUUCUAUCAUUUUGCUCACUCCUUUGUCAGAGGGAACUGGAGAAACGAGGCGGAAAGCUCUUUUGCUCUGCUUGCCAAAUCCUGCCAUGAUUUGGAUCUGAUUCAUCACUGGGCUGGCGGA